rnacentral:rRNA from 1 species
UACGUAGGGUGCGAGCGUUGUCCGGAAUUAUUGGGCGUAAAGAGCUCGUAGGCGGUCUGUCGCGUCGGUCGUGAAAACUUGGGGCUUAACCCUGAGCUUGCGGUCGAUACGGGCAUGACUGGAGUUCGGCAGGGGAGACUGGAAUUCCUGGUGUAGCGGUGAAAUGCGCAGAUAUCAGGAAGAACACCCGUGGCGAAGGCGGCUCUCUGGGC